UAUGCACACGUUUUUCCAUGAAGAAGUAAGGUAGUGUUUUUAUUAAAUAAUAUGCAAAGCCAGAAAACUUUGAAAAGAAUUUUAAUGGUAUUUGCAAAUUACUUAAGUCUAAAACUCACCUAGCAGCAAAGAAUACAGAGAAGGUAACAGAGAAACUGCCGUUCACGUAAUUUUCAUAGCUUCUUACGUAUUCAUGUUCCAAAAGGAUUUCUUUCACAGAAGCCUAUGCUCAUCUAACCAGAUACUUUGUUCUUCUGGGAUAUGGAGAGAGUUAUCCAGUACUGUAAAGUACAGAAGGAUGAAUGCAAAUAUACUGCUUGAGGCAUAAUUGUGAAAAAGAAGAAAAGAAGGUGACUGGAAGAGCUCUGAGUGUGUUAAUGGGUAUUAAUGAUCCUGACAAGCCUCACCCAGAGCCCAGCCCAUGGCCUCCAUCUGAGCUCAGGUGUGGGCUAUGCCAAACAGAGAAAAGGAAAUACCAUACACGUAAGAGGAAUAGUUGCACAAGUCUUUUAAGCUUAAUUGACAUUAAAUUUUGAUGGGAUGAAUAACUGAA